rnacentral:tRNA from 1 species
GGCGACCUGCAGCUGAGGUGGUCCUUGGCACCGGACUUCAAAUCCGGUAUACUCGCGAAGAGUAUACAGUUCGAUUCUGUCAGGUCGCCGCCA